rnacentral:misc_RNA from 1 species
UCCGGUUUAUCACCGGCAGUCUCCACAGAGUCCUCGGCUUUACCCGUUAGUAACUGUGAACAAGGGUUGCGCUCGUUGCGGGACUUAACCCAACAUCUCACGACACGAGCUGACGACAGCCAUGCAGCACCUGUAUGAAAGUCAGUACCAUCCCGUUAAGGACUGGUUUUGUUGUUCAUAUGUCAAGGGCUGGUAAGGUUUUGCGCGUUGUAUCGAAUUGAACCACAUGCUCCACCGCUUGUGCGGGCCCCCGUCAAUUCCUUUGAGUUUCAGCCUUGCGGCCGUACUCCCCAGGCGGAGUGCUUAAUGCGUUAGCUUCGACGCGGAGGGGGUCGAUACCCCCCACAUCUAGUGACCAUCGUUUACAGCGUGGACUAC